GACAGAGGAUGCAAGCGUUAUCCGGAAUGAUUGGGCGUAAAGCGUCUGUAGGUGGCUUUUUAAGUCCGCCGUCAAAUCCCAGGGCUCAACCCUGGACAGGCGGUGGAAACUACCAAGCUGGAGUACGGUAGGGGCAGAGGGAAUUCCGGUGGAGCGGUGAAAUGCGUAGAUAUUGGAAAGACCACCAAUGGCGAAGGCACUCUACUGGGCCAUACUGACACUGAGAGACGAAAGCUAGGGGAGCAAUGGG
rnacentral:rRNA from 1 species